GGGUAACCUGCCUGUAAGACUGGGAUAACUCCGGGAAACCGGGGCUAAUACCGGAUGGUUGUUUGAACCGCAUGGUUCAAACAUAAAAGGUGGCUUCGGCUACCACUUACAGAUGGACCCGCGGCGCAUUAGCUAGUUGGUGAGGUAACGGCUCACCAAGGCAACGAUGCGUAGCCGACCUGAGAGGGUGAUCGGCCACACUGGGACUGAGACACGGCCCAGACUCCUACGGGAGGCAGCAGUAGGGAAUCUUCCGCAAUGGACGAAAGUCUGACGGAGCAACGCCGCGUGAGUGAUGAAGGUUUUCGGAUCGUAAAGCUCUGUUGUUAGGGAAGAACAAGUACCGUUCGAAUAGGGCGGUACCUUGACGGUACCUAACCAGAAAGCCACGGCUAACUACGUGCCAGCAGCCGCGGUAAUACGUAGGUGG
rnacentral:rRNA from 1 species